rnacentral:rRNA from 1 species
GGUGUAGCGUAUGAAGUGGGAAGAAAUGGGCUACAUUUUCUAUCACAGAACACUACGAACAUGCAACAUGAAAUAGUGCUUGAAGGAGGAUUUAGUAGUAAAAAGGAAGCAGAGUGUCCUUUUGAACCCGGCUCUGAGGCGCGUACACACCGCCCGUCACUCUCCCCUGUCAAAACGCAACAAAGAUACUUAACACUAAAGCACUGACAAGGGGAGGCAAGUCGUAACAUGGUAAGUGUACCGGAAGGUGCACUUGGAUUAAA